rnacentral:rRNA from 1 species
GACGAACGCUGGCGGCGUGCUUAACACAUGCAAGUGGAGCGACGAACCGGGGCUUGCCCCGGGGCAGAGCCGCGAACGGGUGAGUAACACGUGGGUAACGUGCCCCGAUGACCGGGACAACCCGAGGAAACUCGGGCUAAUACCGGAUGAGCCCUCUCGCCACAAGGCGAGCGGGGAAAGGUAGCUUCGGCUUCCGCAUCGGGAGCGGCCCGCGGCCCAUUAGCUUGUUGGUGAGGUAACGGCUCACCAAGGCUCCGAUGGGUAGCUGGUCUGAGAG